CUGGGUGGGGACCCGUCUCCCUGGGAACUGUGUUCUCCGCAUUGUCUGUGGGGCAUACAGCAAAGGUUAUUAACAAAGGCCACUUCCCUUCCCGGGCAUCUCUCGGGAGACGCAUGUCACAGGCUCCAAACUAGUAGCUAACAAGACUCACACUUGAGAAAAUGCAGUAAAUUAAGGAGAAUUGGAGACUCAUUCUUAGCACAGAAGGAUAUUUAGAAUUAAGCAGAAAGCACAUGAGACAACUACUUGGAAGCAUUUAUGAUUGUUGCCAUCUCACUAAUGACGCAUCUAUGAGUGCAAGAUGUUCUGAAGACCACCCUGAGCUGUUUGUGGCCCAUUCGCUAUUUAUGUAUGACAAGGCCUAAGGCCAGAAGGCAAUGAAACCCACUGAGGCUAACGGUCAAUAGCCUGGGAACUGUGCAACAUGCUUCUAACUUCUGUCUGACACCAGCAAGUUCCAGCUACUACUGAUGGCCCACCACUCAUCUAACUUCACUGCACCGCUAGCCCUCCAUAAAAUGAAGAGACUCCUUGCUUGUGUGAAAUCUAUGCAGAAUCUUAUCUAUGAUAAAGUAUAAGCCUGAUGCCAGAAGUUCCCUUUUCUUUGUUAUGUAUUCAGCUUCAUAGACUAUUUCAUUUUUUUCAAAGCAAGUCUUAGUGACUUUUUUUUUUUUUACAAUAGUCUGAUCAUUCAUUUAUGUAUUCCUACAACAACUACCUAGUAACUUCUUUGUCAGACACUGCUUUCAUUGCAUAGGAUACACUGGAAAAAGUGACCGGUGAACUUGCUUGGUCAAAGAGUAAAAGUGCUAUGAAAAGGUAAUAUUCCUCUUUCUAUCACUAUAGUUAAUAAAAGACAAGUUCAAC
rnacentral:lncRNA from 1 species